rnacentral:rRNA from 1 species
UACGUAGGCAGCAAGCGUUGUUCGGAAUUACUGGGCGUAAAGAGUGUGUAGGCGGUCGCUCCAAGUCUGGUGUGAAAGUCUCCCGGCUUAACUGGGAGGGUGACAUUAGGAAACCGGAAUGCUAGAGGAUGGGAGAGGUAAGCGGAAUUCCUGGUGUAGCGGUGAAAUGCGUAGAUAGUCAGGAGGAACACCUGUGGUGUAGACAGCUUACUGGACCAUUUCU